UACGGUCUCCGUAGGUGACCUGCGGAGGGACAUUACACAAAUAUGAAGGCGGGCUGGAACCUCUCGGGGUUACAGCCUUGCUGAAUUAUUCACCCUUGUCUUUUGCGUACUUCUUGUUUCCUUGGUGGGUUCGCCCACCACUAGGACAAACAUAAACCUUUUGUAAUUGCAAUCAGCGUCAGUAACAAAUUAAUAAUUACAACUUUCAACAACGGAUCUCUUGGUUCUGGCAUCGAUGAAGAACGCAGCGAAAUGCGAUAAGUAGUGUGAAUUGCAGAAUUCAGUGAAUCAUCGAAUCUUUGAACGCACAUUGCGCCCUUUGGUAUUCCAAAGGGCAUGCCUGUUCGAGCGUCAUUUGUACCCUCAAGCUUUGCUUGGUGUUGGGCGUCUUGUCUCUAGCUUUGCUGGAGACUCGCCUUAAAGUAAUUGGCAGCCGGCCUACUGGUUUCGGAGCGCAGCACAAGUCGCACUCUCUAUCAGCAAAGGUCUAGCAUCCAUUAAGCCUUUUUUUCAACUUUUGACCUCGGAUCAGGUAGGGAUACCCGCUGAACUUAAGCAUAUCAAUAAGCGGGAGGAA
rnacentral:rRNA from 1 species